AUGGAUCCGUAACUUCGGGAA
rnacentral:snRNA from 1 species